rnacentral:rRNA from 1 species
GACGAACGCUGGCGGCGUGCUUAACACAUGCAAGUCGAACGGAAAGGCCCUGCUUUUGUGGGGUGCUCGAGUGGCGAACGGGUGAGUAACACGUGAGUAACCUGCCCUUGACUUUGGGAUAACUUCAGGAAACUGGGGCUAAUACCGGAUAGGAGCUCCUGCUGCAGGGUGGGGGUUGGAAAGUUUCGGUGGUUGGGGAUGGACUCGCGGCGUAUGAGCUUGUUGGUGGGGUAGUGGCUUACCAAGGCUUUGCAGGGUAGCCGGGCUGGGCGGGUGACCGGCCACGUUGGGACUGAGAUGCGGCACAGACUCCAACGGGAGGCAACAGAGGAGAAUAGUGCACAAUGGGCGGAAGCCUGAUGCAGCAACGCCGCGUGCGGGAUGACGUCCUUCGGGUUGUAAACCGCUUUCGCCUGUGACGAGGCGUGAGUGACGGUAACGGGUAAAGAAGCACCGGCUAACUACGUG